rnacentral:rRNA from 1 species
GGCUGGAGUUAUACUCGGCCUCGUGUCGAUAUAACUCUCAGUCAUCCGUAUGAGAAACUAACUCGCCAUUAACGUGGUGGUUAGUGUAUCAUACAAUUUACUUUGAAAAAAUUAGAGUGUUUCAGGCAGGCCAUUGCUGGGAUACACAAGCAUGGAAUAAUGGAAUAGGACUUUGACCUAUUUUAUUGGUAUAUUAGGUCGAAGUA